rnacentral:rRNA from 2 species
CAACAGGGAUUGCCCUAGUAACGGCGAGUGAAGCGGCAAUAGCUCAAAUUUGAAAUCUGGCUCUGCUCUAGGGUCCGAGUUGUAAUUUGUAGAGGGUGCUUUGGCACUGAUGGCGGUCUAAGUUCCUUGGAACAGGACAUCACAGAGGGUGAGAAUCCCGUAUGUGGUCGCUAAUCUUUGCCGUGUAAAGCCCCUUCAACGAGUCGAGUUGUUUGGGAAUGCAGCUCUAAAUGGGAGGUAAAUUUCUUCUAAAGCUAAAUAUUGGCCAGAGACCGAUAGCGCACAAGUAGAGUGAUCGAAAGAUGAAAAGCACUUUGGAAAGAGAGUCAAAAAGCACGUGAAAUUGUUGAAAGGGAAGCGCUUGCCGCCAGACUUGCCUGCAGUUGCUCACCUAGGCGUUCAGCCUGGGGCACUCUUCUGCAGGCAGGCCAGCAUCAGUUUGGGCAGCCGGAUAAAGGUCUCUGACACGUUCCUUCUACCUUUGUGUAGAUGGUCAUAUAGGGGAGACGUCAUGCGGUUAGCCCGGACUGAGGUCCGCGCAUUGCUAGGAUGCUGGCGUAAUGGCUGCAAGCGGCCCGUCUUGAAACACGGACCAAGGAGUCUAACAUCUAUGCGAGUGUUUGGGUGUCAAGCCCGAGCGCGCAAUAAACGUGAACGGAGGUGGGAACCCUCUUUUGGGGGUGCACCAUCGACCGAUCCUGAUGUCUUCGGAUGGAUUUGAGUAAGAGCAUAGCUGUUGGGACCCGAAAGAUGGUGAACUAUGCUUGAAUAGGGUGAAGCCAGAGGAAACUCUGGUGGAGGCUCGCA